UACGGGGGGGGCAAGCGUUGUUCGGAAUUACUGGGCGUAAAGGGCUCGUAGGUGGCCAACUAAGUCAGACGUGAAAUCCCUCGGCUUAACCGGGGAACUGCGUCUGAUACUGGAUGGCUGGAGAUUGGGAGAGGGAUGCGGAAUUCCAGGUGUAGCGGUGAAAUGCGUAGAUAUUGGGAGGAACACCGGUGGCGAAGGCGGCUCUCUGGACCGGUACUGACGCUGAGACGCGAAAGCCAGGGGAGCAAACGGG
rnacentral:rRNA from 1 species